GCCGCGUGUGUGUGUCCUCCUGCUGCACGGCCGUGGAAUCACCAUGGACGCACUCACCAUCAAGCGCUACUCGGUUUUGAGUCUAUCAGUUUUGUUGGGGUGGACUCUAAGAAGUUCUUUCAGAUGGUUGAAGACAAGAAGAAGAGAAUACGCGGCCAACAUCUGAUGGAGCCGGUCAUGCAUUAUCACACAGCACCACGGGGUCUGGAGCAUGCAUUGUUUCUUCAAAUAGACUGAUGCGGGGACUGCUCUAUAUGCGGCAUAACCUGAUGAGGAUAUAGAGAACACCGAGGAUGCUGUAAUGGAAGAGAUGUCAAGGGUUAGGAACCAGUUUGACAAGAGUGGCGAGGGUGUCUAUGUGCAACGCAGCAAUGCAGGAGCCGCUGAGGAGCACAACGAGCUUCAGAGGAGCACGGAGAGCUUCGG